UACGUAGGAUGCAAGCGUUGUCCGGAAUUAUUGGGCGUAAAGAGCGCGCAGGCGGUAUGACAAGUCAGAUGUGAAAGAGGCCGGCUUAACCGGCAAGGGUCAUUUGAAACUGUCAGACUAGAGUGCAGCAGAGGAUAGUGGAAUUCCCGGUGUAGUGGUGAAAUGCGUAGAUAUCGGGAGGAACACCAGUGGCGAAGGCGACUAUCUGGGCUACAACUGACGCUGAGGCGCGAAGGCUAGGGUAGCAAACAGG
rnacentral:rRNA from 1 species